rnacentral:rRNA from 1 species
AGAGUUUGAUCCUGGCUCAGGAUGAACGCUGGCGGCGUGCCUAACACAUGCAAGUCGAGCGAUUUACUUCGGUAAAGAGCGGCGGACGGGUGAGUAACGCGUGGGUAACCUGCCCUAUACACACGGAUAACAUACCGAAAGGUAUGCUAAUACGAGAUAAUAUAAGAGAUUCACAUGGAUUUCUUAUCAAAGCUGAGGCGGUAUAGGAUGGACCCGCGUCUGAUUAGCUAGUUGGUAAGGUAACGGCUUACCAAGGCGACGAUCAGUAGCCGACCUGAGAGGGUGAUCGGCCACAUUGGAACUGAGACACGGUCCAAACUCCUACGGGAGGCAGCAGUGGGGAAUAUUGCACAAUGGGCGAAAGCCUGAUGCAGCAACGCCGCGUGAGUGAUGAAGGCCUUCGGGUCGUAAAACUCUGUCCUCAAGGAAGAUAAUGACGGUACUUGAGGAGGAAGCCCCGGCUAACUACGUGCCAGCAGCCGCGGUAAUACGUAGGGGGCUAGCGUUAUCCGGAUUUACUGGGCGUAAAGGGUGCGUAGGUGGUUUCUUAAGUCAGGAGUGAAAGGCUACGGCUCAACCGUAGUAAGCUCUUGAAACUGGGAAACUUGAGUGCAGGAGAGGAAAGUGGAAUUCCUAGUGUAGCGGUGAAAUGCGUAGAUAUUAGGAGGAACACCAGUAGCGAAGGCGGCUUUCUGGACUGUAACUGACACUGAGGCACGAAAGCGUGGGGAGCAAACAGGAUUAGAUACCCUGGUAGUCCACGCCGUAAACGAUGAGUACUAGGUGUCGGGGGUUACCCCCCUCGGUGCCGCAGCUAACGCAUUAAGUACUCCGCCUGGGGAGUACGCUCGCAAGAGUGAAACUCAAAGGAAUUGACGG